rnacentral:piRNA from 1 species
UCAUGACGUAUCGGAUGACGU